rnacentral:rRNA from 1 species
UACGAAGGGGGCUAGCGUUGUUCGGAAUUACUGGGCGUAAAGCGCGCGCAGGCGGUCUUCCAAGUCAGUGGUGAAAGCCCGGAGCUCAACUCCGGAACUGCCAUUGAAACUGUUAGACUUGAGGAUGAGAGAGGUGAGUGGAAUUCCCAGUGUAGAGGUGAAAUUCGUAGAUAUUGGGAAGAACACCGGUGGCGACGGCGGCUCACUGGCUCAUUACUGACGCUCAGGCGCGAUAGCGUGGGGAUCAAACAGG